AUUGUCUGAUUAGCUCUAUAUUCAUAUUUGUUUAGUACAUUGUACAGUAAUUGCCCAUUUUGUUUUAAGGGAUGAACGGGGUUAAGAGCAUCAUUAUGUAGUUGAAUAUAAUCUUUAAUUUAUCUUAAAUCUUUGUUUAAGGUUAUGGCCGUUUACUAGCCUUUAUUAAACGGUUUGACAAAUAGCAUAUAAAAGAUCGAUAUUUUCCCAAACUACUUUGUAAUUAUACACAUUAUGUUGAUUUGAUGAAAAUAUGGAAUUAAUUUCUUAUGAUCAUCCUAUUUAUACAUGUAUAUACAGGUUUGUAUAUGCUUGAACUAAGCCAAGCUAUUUUUCAAACUAUAUAUGUAUAUGUUGCAAUCACAAGGAUAUCCAAGAUAAUAUAGAAUUUACACAAUCACAUUCUUGACCCAUUAGCAUUAGAAUUGUAAGGUAUAGCUAUUAUAUAAACCGCCUAACUAUCGCUUCCCCGGCAGAAUCCCCAAUUUCGCCCGUCUCUUACAAAACAGAACCAUGAUCAACCUAUCCAAGGCCGAGGCUAAGGCCAGGUUCAAGGCUAAGGCCAAGGCCAAGUCGAAGUCCCUAGCCGGACGAGGAUCCGGAUCCUGGCAGGGGAAGAUUCCAGGCCAACCGACGAAGCUCAGAGGUGAGAUCCGGACUCCUCCCUCUUCUCAUGAUGGCCCUCCGACUCAACUCAAAAAUGAAAAGGCUGUUGAAGAGAAUCUGGCUAAAGUCCAGCUUGACAAGGAGAAUACUACUACUCCAAAACCAAAACCAGAAAAGAGAGAGCAGAAUGGGUAGAACUUUCCUAUUCACAGACCCUUGUCGAAUUUGCAAUGUGUUUGGGCACUGGACUGAUUUAUGCCCCUACCUGAAAUUUGUCCCAUACAACGUAACUAAGGUUGUUGGCAAGGGCUAUGAAAUACAUGACGGCCGCCAUGGGAGGUAUGCUGCUCCGAUUUAUUGUCUUAACUGUACGGUGCCGGUUGAACACGAGGCUGAAAAGUGCCCGUACGACAGCUGAUGCAUGGCCAGUAAUCCAGGGCCAUCAUGGUUCGCCUCCUUCCACCCCAUAAUCUUUCCGAUGGCGAGGAAGGUGUCGGAUUAUCUAGUCUUGGGCUGUUGCUUUCGUCUUUACGUGGAGGAUGAACUGCAACAGCAACAAAAAUAAUAGGGUGCUUCCCAACUCUUCCACGCAUUUCAGCUGAAAUAAUAGGGUUCCGCGCAUUAAAAACCCUAAGACCUCUUUCUACCAUAAACCCUAAUUCCUAAACCCCUCGACCCCCAAUUUUAAAACUCCCAGAACCCAUAGCUAUAUAUAAUCCCCAAAAAUCUCAAUUUUACAGAACAACUUGGACUCUUCAUCAGCAACGACAAUGGAGGUGGAAGGAGCAGAGGGGAAGGGGAAGACAAUGUUGUGCUCUCGGACGGACGCAGAUGGAACACUGAACCGUAACACCUUCAACAAAUCGUCAAUCAGCUUCGUCAAAAUGUUAAUCAUUUCUACUUCUUCUCUUUGAAAUAAUUUCGAUUAGCAAUAUAAAAUGUGUGAAAAAAAAUAUGAAGAAGAAUGUUUCUUGAAUUGAUGGGAUUGUAGAAAUUUGCUUUUAAAAUUGGAAAGAAUUUUUCUUUUGGCACA